ACCAGGCUCACACCUGCCUGCUUAAUGAGCUCUCUCUCACUCUGCCAAGGUUAAACCUAAAAAUGUUUAGUAAAAUAGUAAGAUUAACUUUUUCAAUAGUACAAUAAGACAGAUUUGACAGGUUUUUGCCACAGCUUAAUAGUUUGUCACUAGUUAGUAUAUGCCAACUAAGUAGAGCAUUGUGAUUAGCACAAAGGUUUUUCAGAUCUGGGCAGUUGGAGUCAGUUGAUGACUUCAAAAUCGUCCUUUCUGACUGGAUAAUUAAAGCUCUCAGCAUCUAUUGGUCUGUAGUUAAUUUCCCCACCUUUUAACUAACGUUUAACUAAUCUAAUCUCAUUUAAUGUUUCUGUUUAUAUUCUGUUUAUCUCCCCACGAAUACACUCAAAGUAGUCUUAAAAUAAAACCCACAAAACAGUUCAAGAUUUAAUACUUUUUAUUUGCUCAUUUAAUGCCAGUUGCCCUGUUUUUCUGUAUGUCACUCAUUCGCUUAUACUUGGGCAAAAAGGACCAAUUUGUACACUAGUAUAGUGUAUUUUUCCCUCUAUCUCACACACAGAGACCAACACACAGACAUGUAUAUGCUCAUUAUUGCUGUUCAAACUGAUGGUCAAAUUUCCAAGCACCACCUGAACGCCUCAUCUGUUUUUAACCUUUCACUGGACCAACUGUCCUCAUUCCGCUUUGCUCUCUGCUGUGGAACCUGACUGACACUGUGCUUUGCCUGAGUGUGCAGAAGAAGAACAAGGACCAGAUCUCCAGUCUUCUCUCUCACAUCCCACCCCCCCAACCCCUCUAUCCUCUGUCCUGCUCCACCUGUUGUCUCUGCCUUCUUUCCAUCUGUAUUUCACUCUGUGGUUUGUGAGAAAUUUUGCCAAACCAAGAAUCUUAUUGCGGUUUGAUUUAAAGCCGUGUCUCUCCUGCUCUGUCUGUUCUCUCUGCUAAAUUUUCUCUCUACCUGUUUUUCACUCUUGGCUUGCUGCUGAAAAACGCCAAGCCAACAAAGCAAUAAAGAGUGCAUAUUUUGCCUCAACCUAUGAACAAACUGAACAAACAAAGAAAAAUCUGCGGUUUGAUUUAAAGCCGUGUCUCUCCUGCUCUGUCUGUUCUCACUGCUAAAUUUUCUCUCUACCUGUUUUUCACUCUUGGCUUGCUGCUGAAAAACGCCAAGCCAACAAAGCAAUAAAGAGUGCAUAUAUUGCCUCUACCUGAGAACAAACAAAGAAAACUAAUUCACGGUUUGAUUGUGAUUUCCCAGCCGUGUCUCUCCUGCUCUGCCUGUUCUCUCUUCUAAAUUUUCUCUCUACCUGUUUUUCACUCUUGGCUUGCUGCUGAAAAAUGCCAAGCCAAUAAAGAGAGUGCAUAAUAUUCUCUCAACUGAAGAACAACUGUCAAACGAAAGACAACUGUUUAAGACAAAUAAAAACUGAAAUAUAAAAACAAAGACAACAUCUCCUGGUGUGUGCCACUCUUAUCUUGUGAACAUAUUUUCUAAAGACUAAGAAACACUUGCAGGUGUGUGAAAAUGCCAAGGAAGCAGAAAAAGUCACAAGCUGCAAAACAACGCUGGAAAAAGUUUCAUGAGUUUCACGAAGUACCAACAUGUGAACAAGCUGAGUUUGAUUUUCCUCAGAGCUCUGCAGAAGACAGUGUGUCUACAAAGACCAAUUCUGACAGUGUCAAACAGGCAGGUCAACAUGUUCCUGCACAUGUACAACAGGUAUCUUAUGCUGAUGCUGUAAAGAGUGGACUGCAGCAUGAAUUUAAUGAACAACAUGAGG